UACGUAGGUGGCAAGCGUUGUCCGGAUUUAUUGGGCGUAAAGGGAGCGCAGGCGGUGAUUUAAGUCUGAUGUGAAAGCCCACGGCUCAACCGUGGAAUGGCAUUGGAAACUGGGUCACUUGAGUGCAGAAGAGGAAAGCGGAAUUCCUAGUGUAGCGGUAAAAUGCGUAGAUAUUAGGAGGAACACCAGUGGCGAAGGCGGCUCUCUGGUCUGCAACUGACGCUGAUGUGCGAAAGCGUGGGGAUCAAACAGG
rnacentral:rRNA from 1 species